rnacentral:rRNA from 1 species
CUGUCGUCAGCUCGUGUCGUGAGAUGUUGGGUUAAGUCCCGCAACGAGCGCAACCCUUGUCUUUAAUUGCCAUCAUUCAGUUGGGCACUUUAAAGAGACUGCCGGUGUUAAGCCGGAGGAAGGUGGGAUGACGUCAAGUCCUCAUGGCCUUUAUGCCCAGGGCUACACACGUGCUACAAUGGGCGGUACAAAGAGAAGCAAUCUCGCGAGGGUGAGCAAAUCUCAAAAAGCCGUUCUCAGUUCAGAUUGUAGGCUGCAACCCGCCUGCAUGAAGAUGGAGUUGCUAGUAACCGCAGGUCAGCUAUACUGCGGUGAAUACGUUCCCGGGGCUU